rnacentral:rRNA from 1 species
UGCCCGCCGGAGUGCCGAAACCAAACUCUUGAUAUUUUAUGUCUCUCUGAGUAAACUUUUAAAUAAGUCAAAACUUUCAACAACGGAUCUCUUGGUUCUGGCAUCGAUGAAGAACGCAGCGAAAUGCGAUAAGUAAUGUGAAUUGCAGAAUUCAGUGAAUCAUCGAAUCUUUGAACGCACAUUGCGCUCGCCAGUAUUCUGGCGAGCAUGCCUGUUCGAGCGUCAUUUCAACCAUCAAGCUCUGCUUGCGUUGGGGAUCCGCGGCUGCCCGCGGUCCCUCAAAAACAGUGGCGGGCUCGCUAGUCACACCGAGCGUAGUAACUCUACAUCGCUAUGGUCGUGCGGCGGGUUCUUGCCGUAAAACCCCCCAAUUUCUAAGGUUGACCUCGGAUCAGGUAGGAAUACCCGCUGAACUUAAGCAUAUCAAUAAGCGGAGGAAAAGAAACCAACAGGGAUUGCCCUAGUAACGGCGAGUGAAGCGGCAACAGCUCAAAUUUGAAAUCUGGCUUCGGCCCGAGUUGUAAUUUGUAGAGGAAGCUUUUGGUGAGGCACCUUCUGAGUCCCCUGGAACGGGGCGCCAUAGAGGGUGAGAGCCCCGUAUAGUCGGAUGCCGAUCCAAUGUAAAGCUCCUUCGACGAGUCGAGUAGUUUGGGAAUGCUGCUCAAAAUGGGAGGUAAAUUUCUUCUAAAGCUAAAUACCGGCCAGAGACCGAUAGCGCACAAGUAGAGUGAUCGAAAGAUGAAAAGCACUUUGAAAAGAGGGUUAAAUAGCACGUGAAAUUGUUGAAAGGGAAGCGUUUGUGACCAGACUUGCGCCGUUCCGAUCAUCCGGUGUUCUCACCGGUGCACUCGGGACGGCUCAGGCCAGCAUCGG